CUAGUAGAUAAGAUUUUGGAAUGAAAAUGAACUCCUUUACAUCAAGUUUGAUUUAACUGUUCAUAAAGAAAAAAUGAACUAACUCCUAUAAUGCAUGAGUGUCAAGUGUUAACCAAACCACCUUGAAAAUUUUUCUUGCUAGUUUCUUAUAUUAUCUGGAUCUUAGAAGUUGAAAUUCUCUCAAGUAUAAUUGCUUCUUUAAAUUUCUUCUACACACUUUUGAUAUGACUGUUUACUUUGAGAAGUUAGAGAUUUUGAAUCCUUGAAAAGAUGAUUUUUUAUUAAAGUAGAGGAGCUUCAUUUCAAAUGUUGGAUAAAAGACAAAAGAAAUAACACAAGAAUAGCAGAACGACGCGGAGACCUCCAUGGAGUGUCAAUUUGUACUAAUGCACCUACCAUUUCUCACCUCUUGUUUGCAUAUGAUUGCUUUUUGUUUUUCAGGGUUGAUGACAGUGAAGCGCAAGUGAUGAAGAACAUUCUCCAUACUUAUGAACUAGCUUCAGGGCAGGCCAUUAGUCUUCCAAAGUCCGAGGUUUUUUUCAGCAAAGUUGUUCCAUCACCUUUGAAGGAAACUAUUGCUAAUAUUUUAGGGGUUAGAGCGUGAUGGGUACAGGUCAAUAUCUCGGCAUGCCAUCUAUGGUGGGCAGAAGUAAAGAGGCAACAUUUGGCUUUAUAAAGGAUCGUAUUUGGCACAAAAUUAAUAGUUUGAGCAGCAAAUGUUUGUCCAAGGCUGGUCGUGAGGUGAAAUGAUGUGAUUUUAUUGAUCAAGAUUUAAAAAUGUGGAAGGGGCCUCUCAUUCGUAGUUUAUUUGAUACGCAAACUGCGCAACUCAUACUCAACACACCGUUGCAACCACUUGUAUUGGAGAACAAAAUGAUAUGGAAAGGGGAAAGGAGUGGUAAGUAUUCUGUGAAGAGUGCUUACAGAAUUUGUGUUACAGAAAUUGCAGAUAACUCUCAUAUGCAUGUUAAUGGUCGUUGGAACCUUAUUUGGAAGUUAAAAGUGCCUCCUAAAAUUAAGAAUUUUCUUUGGCGUGUGUGUCGUGGUUGUUUUCCAACACGUGCUCGCUUACAUAGUAUAGGAGUCUCUUGUCCACUUGACUGUGUUCACUGUAAUCAUAAUUAUGAAGAUAGCAUCCAUAUCCUUUAUUAAGUGUCCUAAAGCUGUGCAAGUAUGGCAGAAUGCGAAUUUAUGGGACAUAAUUGACAGGGUAAUUCAUCAAGAUUAUAAUAUCAGUGCUCUCAUUUUCACGGUUCUACAGAAUUUACCUACAGGGCAAUGUGAGCUGAUGGCAUCAAUCAUGUGGAGUCUAUAAAUAUGUAGAAACUUGAAACUUUGGAAGCAACAACUUGAGAUCGACCGCAGGUGUUCCAACGUGCAACCCAUGUAUUUGAAGAAUGGCGAACAACCCAAAGAAUUAGAUCAAGCAGCAACACUCAAUCUACAACUCCACAAGUUCAGCCAUCCAGACAAGAGGAAGAUGUUUGGAAGAAACCAGCACCUGGCAGAUACAAAUGCAAUAUUGAUGCAUCCUUUUCAACUUCUUUUAACAUAGUUGGCUUGGGCAUGUGUCUUAGGGAUGAGGAUGAUGCUUUUGUGCUUGCAAGAACAGAAUGGUUUGCCCCUCUUUGUGAUAUAGAUGUGGGGGAGGCUGUUGGUCUACACACAUCUUUGGAUUGGCUUUCUAAUCAAAGGUUUGAUAAUGUAGAUUUUGUUCUUGAUUGUAAAAGGGUUGUUGAUUGCAUCAACUCUAGUUUAGAUGAUAGUAGCGAGUUUGGAUGUAUUAUCACUGCUUGUAAACAGCUGCUAGUAGAUAGAUUUCAUAACUCUCAUGUUGAGUUCAGCAGGAGGCAAGCAAAUAGGGUAGCUCACGAGUUAGCUCAGGCAACCCUGUCUAAUCCUAGCCGCCACGUUAUUGAUGAUGUACCUACAUGUAUUUGACAUAUUUUAGCUAAUGAAAUGCAAUGAUUUCCUUCCUUCAAAAAA